GCCAUGACGGUCUUUCUGAUCUGAUGGCUUAUCGAUCGAAUGUAUGAGAAUGGCGGUCUGUAAUUAUUGAUAAAAAUCUUGUGUAUUUACGAACACUUUUGAGACAUAAUCUUCAUCAAGAAAAUCUGUUUUAUAUGAAGAAACUAAUUCCGAAAUUUCAGGAUUGGUAUGACUACAGUAAAAGUUGAUGGGACUGUAGAGCAGACAUGGAUUGGGGCAGAGAACCAAGAUUUGCAGCUGUGGAGACAGCUUUGAAAGGAAUUGAUUUCAGAAUUAUUAUCUGUGGAUUGAAGACCAGUAACACAGCAUCACCUACAGGCAAAUGCAACAUUGAUGACAGGGAGGAACAGGUGUCUACAUUAAUAUCAGGAUGGAUAUGACUACAGUAAAAGUUGAUGGGACUGUAGAGCAGACAUGGAUUGGGGCAGAGAACCAAGAUUUGCAGCUGUGGAGACAGCUUUGAAAGAAUUAUCUGUGGAUUGAAGACCAGUAACACAGCAUCACCUACAGGCAAAUGCAACUGUGAGGACAUGGAGGAAGCAGAAUUGCAACGGUGCCCACAUUAACAUCAGAUAAGUUCUGCAACUGGAAGGAAGGAAAACCUUACAUCACCAGUAAGGAAGAUAAUCAUCCAGGUGAUCUACAUCGAGAUUCAGCUCUGCUGCCAGAGCUAGGAGCACAUUGAUUGUUGAACAUGGGAAAAUAUUUCAUCAUAAUCCACUCCCUAGUCUCUCCUUCCCGCCUUGAAUUUGAAGACCCAUUUAUUCUUCACAGUUUCCUGUCUUUCAUCAUGGAAUUGUACUAGUUGCCAAUCUUUGUAUUCCAGAAAACACCUGUCGUCAUUUUUUCACCCCCAUCUUCCAAUUCUCCGUUUCCUGUCUUGAUGAAGCUUCAUCGAUGGUUUUGUGAUACCAUUUUGUCAUUUUGAUAAUUAUAAAACUGUGAUUCUUUUGCUGUA